UUUCCUAUAACCAGUACACCUACACCCUUAUCUUUUUUUUUCUUUCUUUUUUCCAUACCCACGCUCCUUCCUCUCCCAUGGCCCUUUCUCAGAAAAGAUGAAGAUACCCUUCCCCACCUCCUUCUUUUCCUUUCAAUUUCAAGAAAAUCCACUUGCCUUUACUGCAAAAUUUUCGCAACUUUCAGUUUAAAUCAAGAAAAGCUAAGAUUUGUGAAAUCUUUUCCCACUUCCUCCUUGUUUUGCCUCAUAAAUGACUUUGAUUUUGGUUCAAAUCCACAUUUUUCAAUUCCGGAUUUGCCUAUAAAUAGCAAGGAAUUUGAGAAUCGAAAGGGGCAGAGACACAAUCAGAGAUAUAUAUAGAUUCACAAAUUUACAAGCUUUUUGACUUUCUCUUGGGUUUCCUCUGUUUUGUUGCUCCGAGUUUCGAGUUCCUGGACAAAAUCUUUGAACGUCAAAGCCUUAGUUUGCUGUUCUACACAAGGUGAAGAUGGAGACGAUCUCCAACAAUUUCUACUCUUGCUUUCUUGUGGUGGGAGCUGUCGUCAUGCUUUAUUUUGUACAUAUUGUAUCUUAGUAGUUCUUGUACCUAUUUAGACUAGAUCCUUGGGGUUAUUAAUUAUUUUAUAAAUUCAAAUCUUGAUUUUGUUUUA